CGACCCUCCAUACUUGGCACACAGCCUUAUUUGAAAUAUCAGCAACGAAGACUGUGUCAUCGAAUGAUGUGGCGUGCACUGCCUGCCGAAACCCAGUGGUCGAACGUGACGGAAGCCCCCUGCUCUCGCACGCAUUCUAGCCACCAUGAGACAGGCAUGGAACAUCGGUAUUUCAACACGAGAAACAAUAGCGGGCGAGUUUCUUUAGAAAAAAUGAAUAUGUUUUAACAAAAUUCAUGUACGAGGCGAGGAAGAACAGCAGAAGAAAAGCACACGAACGCGUUGGGUCUUUCAGUAAAAGGUUGUUGAAAACAUUGGAUGGUUCUAUCACAUAUCAAUAUAAUUCAACUUGUCUACUAAAAUGUCCCUGCUCAGAACCUUUCAGUUGUCUGCAUACAUUUUCUGCCUUUAACCGGGUUCGUUUCAUUCCCUGCACUGCCUUGAUGCUGUCAACCAAAAAUUUCCCAUGCUUAAUUCAACCAUAAGCGCUCAAGAUGAGGUUAAUAGUUAGUGUGCAAGAAGCGCGUGCCUAAGAAAACCAUGCCGACACGCGGUACCAGCUAGGCAGCGUGCGUACUGAAGUAUAAACGCGCGGCGAGGGAGCUGGGGAUGCGGUACGCGCUACGCGACCGGCGUAACUGCUUUGAAAUAAACAACCUACAUGUCGGCGAACCAUUCUGCAUUGCACUUAGGAUGUUUUAAAAACUUGUAGCAACUGAUUCCACUGCCAACUUUCUUUGGGCAUUAUAAGCUGUGCCGAAGAUUGGCAUUACAACGACCGCAAAUUUAAGUUACAGCAGACACGAAACGCGCCAAACGUUCAGUGAAAUGAACAGGAUGCCGCUACACUCACAUACAAGCGAGCGCCGUCCGCUCCGUUGUCUUUUUUAGGAGACAUAGACAGAUGAAAAGAGCGUUAAAUGUGUGAAGCCGCCAACUGAGAAAUGAAAUCUUUACCACUGUCCAAACACGAAAUGCUUCCACCAUCACACCAAUAACAUCACUGGCACCUCUGACAUUUAUUUCUGUAAUUCAUUGCUUGUUUUCAUUUUUUUUUCAUUUUUGCUUGUGCCUCUAAGUGCCUUUUUCUAACAUGGCGGCAGCGAGCAGGCAUCAGCCACACCGGAGCGCGGCCAUCCACGGUGCUAUCAUCUCUCCUCCUCGGCCCAAUCGAGAUAGCUCGAGUUGCACGCUGGGAAGAUUUUAAGCGGGAGCGGGAGGCUCGGAGCCGGCGGGAGUGGUUAGCGCGCUGUCGUCCUGUCGUUGUUGUCGUUCUGAGACGGCCAUUAUAUUUGACUUGUUUGGAUACCAUCCGAUCACCAUUGUGUGCUGCCACCACUUGUAGCCUGCAGUAGUUAUUACCGCUUCUACUGGGAACUUGCGCCAUCCGCUGCACCCUCAUGCCUUUGUGCAGCAGAGACCUUUUCGGUGUGUUGCGCGGUCGCUGCAACGAGCCGGGUUGUGAGUGCAAGCGAUACACCAUUCUGCGCCUGUCGGAAAGUGACAACCUGGUGAGGUGUGACUAUUGUGACCACGUCCCAAAUGCACACGGAAAAAUAUGUGAUCUCGAAACGAAAAAUGCAGCCGAGGCAAAGGUGCAAUGCAAUGUGCCAGGCACCGCUGUUCGAGGCCUCAGUGUCACAUGAAACUGUGGAAGCUUGCACAUCUAGUCUCCUCAGUGCAAUAUGAGAGGACUGUCCCAGUUGGUGCCUCCAUAGAAAAUGAAUCGGCCUGAAUGCCUGUGCAAGAAUCACAACCUGGCUGCUCUAAAGACUCCGCACCGUAGUCCCAUGUGCAAGAGCCCCCACUUGACAGCCCAGUGGUUGCCAUGGACAAAGAGAUCCGCGAUACUGAAUGCGGCCAAGCAGUACAAGUUUUUACAUGGACAGUUAACACGAAGUUAUUGACGACAUGCAUGGCUGAAACACGGUGAUAUGAUUUUAAAAAUUCCUGUGUUAUGAUGCAAGUGAUAGUAUUCUGUUGAAUUUUCAGAUCUAGUCAUGUGCCAGCAAGGCCUGCUGUACUUCUGGUGUAUUCUAUGUUGUAUUUUCAAAUAAAGAUGUUGCAUUCUGAAGUUAACCUUAUACUGCCUGUGGAACUGUCAAUUUAUACUCAGAUUAUUUAUACAAGCUAACGGCGCCUCCUCCUCAGGCGUUCAAAUUGUGUUUUGAACUGUAUUUUUGAGAACAUUACCGUUACAUAUUUGCUCAAAAGGUGCCGCACGGGGAGUUUCAUUUCGUCAGAAAUCCCAAGGGAUACAGUAUAGUAGUAUCAUGGUAGCCCUUCGUUGGCUGAAAUACAACGAUUUAAGUGAUUUAAAUGAAAGUAAACUUUUGACACCACAUUCAGUUGAGCGUUCCUUUUUUUUUUUUCAGAGAAUUUCAUGUGGGCCCCGCUCUUUACAUGGUCCGACGAGCCCGGUGCGGCCUAGCAACGGGGAGGCGCCACCUUGGGUUUUGUUCCAGAAAGGCCAAAUCUCCGCAUGGUGCACCGAGUCGGCUGCCGCCAAACAACAGAGGUUCAGAGAGACACAGCGACACCCUUUGUUCCGAAAACCGCACGAGGUGGACACGUGAACUAUUUCGAAGCGCAAGCGCAUGUAAAGGCAGCGUCCGGAAAGGACUGGCCGAGGGGCUUCCUCCGCGAAGGCUCACAUUUCUCCGCGCCCGGUUGUAGACUGCUUAAUCCGGCCGCGGAAAGAAGCGCGCAAGAAAGAAGAGGCGCAAGCAGAAAGAAGCGCGAAAGAAGGAAGAGACGCACCUUUGUUGCUAGGCGACAACUGCCUUGGCGGAGCAUGCGCAGAGCAACGGGCUUUUAUGAAACAUACCGCAGAAAGAAGAGCCGCGUCCCCGUUGCUAGGCGACACCGGCUCUAUAUACGGAGCAUGCGCAGCACGGUGUCCAUCUGGCACCUCCUGCAAGCCGCUUUGUGUGAACAUUUUAAUCGUUCAACCGGUAUAUUGUAAAAGUAACCUUUAUAUUUAGGCAAAGACACUCAAUACUGUAUGCCUAUACUAGAGGUUAAAGUGUUGUAACCUCUAGUUGAGGUGCACGCUUUCUUACCUUUAAUAGAAGUUAAAUUUGUAAAGGUUGAUUUGUAACUUAUAAGUUAAAGGUGCACAAAUCUGUGAGAAUGUACCCCUUUAGUAAA